rnacentral:rRNA from 1 species
UACGGGGGGAGCAAGCGUUGUUCGGAUUUACUGGGCGUAAAGCGCGCGCAGGUGGUCUUUCAAGUCAGUGGUGAAAGCCCGGAGCUCAACUCCGGAAAUGCCAUUGAAACUGUAAGACUUGAGGAUGAGAGAGGUGAGUGGAAUUCCCAGUGUAGAGGUGAAAUUCGUAGAUAUUGGGAAGAACACCGGUGGCGAAGGCGGCUCACUGGCUCAUAUCUGACGCUCAGGCGCGACAGCGUGGGGAUCAAACAGG